rnacentral:rRNA from 1 species
UACGGAGGGAGCUAGCGUUGUUCGGAAUUACUGGGCGUAAAGCGCGCGUAGGCGGCUAUUCAAGUCGGGGGUGAAAGCCCGGGGCUCAACCCCGGAACUGCCCUCGAAACUAGGUAGCUAGAAUCUUGGAGAGGUCAGUGGAAUUCCGAGUGUAGAGGUGAAAUUCGUAGAUAUUCGGAAGAACACCAGUGGCGAAGGCGACUGACUGGACAAGUAUUGACGCUGAGGUGCGAAAGCGUGGGGAGCAAACAGG